rnacentral:rRNA from 1 species
UGUAGGAUAGGUGGGAGGCUUUGAAGUGUGGACGCCAGUCUGCAUGGAGCCGACCUUGAAAUACCACCCUUUAAUGUUUGAUGUUCUAACGUGGACCCGUGAUCCGGGUUGCGGACAGUGUCUGGUGGGUAGUUUGACUGGGGCGGUCUCCUCCUAAAGAGUAACGGAGGAGCACGAAGGUUGGCUAAUCCUGGUCGGACAUCAGGAGGUUAGUGCAAUGGCAUAAGCCAGCUUGACUGCGAGCGUGACGGCGCGAGCAGGUGCGAAAGCAGGUCAUAGUGAUCCGGUGGUUCUGAAUGGAAGGGCCAUCGCUCAACGGAUAAAAGGUACUCCGGGGAUAACAGGCUGAUACCGCCCAAGAGUUCAUAUCGACGGCGGUGUUUGGCACCUCGAUGUCGGCUCAUCACAUCCUGGGGCUGAAGUAGGUCCCAAGGGUAUGGCUGUUCGCCAUUUAAAGUGGUACGCGAGCUGGGUUUAGAACGUCGUGAGACAGUUCGGUCCCUAUCUGCCGUGGGCGCUGGAGAACUGAGGGGGGCUGCUCCUAGUACGAGAGGACCGGAGUGGACGCAUCACUGGUGUUCGGGUUGUCAUGCCAAUGGCACUGCCCGGUAGCUAAAUGCGGAAGAGAUAAGUGCUGAAAGCAUCUAAGCACGAAACUUGCC